CGUUAUUUCGUUUGGGAAGAGUAAGCUUGAAAACGAGUUUUCGCUCCGACUCCUUACGAAGUAUGCUUAUUUAACGAAUUUGCAUUCACGUAAGAAGUUACGGUUCGUUUUACCUCGGACUCGACACUCUUCUCACGUUUCCUGCUGUUUCUAACUAUUCCUUCGUUGUUUCGUAAUAUCCUUUCGUUGAUCGAAAUCAUCGUGCCGGUAUGAUUAUUUCAAUGAUAGAAUACAAAUAUCGGAAUAAUCAUUUCUGACAUAAUAUUUCAAAUAAAAUUCAAGUAAAAAAGAGAGAGAGAGAGAGAGAGAAAGAGAGAGAAAAAGAGGUAGAUAGACAGAGAUUUGUAUAAAAGAUUUCUUAACUCGUUUUUCUAUCUUCUAUCAUAAUGAUGUGUAUUGGCGAUGAUCUAAGCACGACUCUGAAUCUUCCAUUUGAACGAUCUCCGUCCGUGCAAAGUGCAAACGGGCCAAGAACACAGAGAACGCCGGCGAUGAAAAGUUCCGAUUACAGAGCGCGUGUGCUGUGACACAGAUACGAAUCCUCCCCGCCCACUCUCCAACAGAGACUGCCUUCGUAGUAGCUCUCUAUAAACUGGGCCACUGCAUCUACGAAAGCACUGCUUUGUAAGUUUUGCUUUCGGUUUGCAUCUUCAUACGUGUGUAUGCAUAUAUACAUAUAUAUGUAUAUGUAUAUGUAUAUGUGAAAAAGAGAGAAAGAGAAAGAGAAGGAGAGAGAGAGAGACAAUUAUGUUGAAUAAGAAAAUUCGCAUGAUAUCUUCCAAAGUAUUGCGAAGUUUCAACGUUUCUUUGUUAAAUUUUCUUAUUUCCUUUUCCCAUCUUGGAUCGAUCGUUCAAAUAUAACUAACGUGUCAUCAAAUUCGAGAUAUAUUCACUAUUUAUUUUAGAAUUUAAUAAAAAAGAAUUCUUCUUUUUUUUCCUUUUUUUUUUUCUUCAAGUUCUGUCGUUAAGCGAGUAACACAUCUACAAUAUUUAACACGAAAUCGUAAAAGCAUACGAGAGAUCUUAUAUACUAUAUCGUUAGAUAUAAUAUAAUUGCGUUUGAUGUAAAACUUCUUAGAGUUCGUGCUAUCGGAAAUUGUCUGUUUUUAACUUAUACGACUACUUUCUUCGAAAGUAAUUUUUGUUGUUUUAACAUCGAUUACUACGAACGAAUCUUCGAUUAUUGUUUCAGUGAUCGUAAAACGGUAUCGCUGAGGAGUAGGUUAAAGUGUUACGUCGUAAAGUCAAAAUCUAAUACGAUGAUAUGAUCCAGAUGAAUUUAGUUUAUGAAUCCCCCUAGUCAACGAUUCAAAUUUAGCAAAUCAAAAAUUAAAAUUUUAUUAAACUCUUUAAAGCCAAAUGUUCUAAUCCCGAAAGAAAUUAAUCGUUUAAAUAAAAAUUACUAGAUUAAAAUAUUUUACCCGUAGAAUCUCAUUUUCAUCAGUGUAUUACCUUCGCAACGAUUUGUGUCCUGUUACAAACGAAAUUCCCCAGAGGCAUGUUUCGGUGAUAAAUUUACAAUGCAGCCCGACGCCACCAGCUGCGCUUCCGUAAUAAGUUUAGUCAAGAUAGAAAAAAAAAACGUCCGAAAAAAAGAAAAUAAAAAAAGGACAAAAAAAAAUAGAAGAAAAAAAGAAAAACGCACGAGCAAAAUAAUAAUACUCGAUGUAUCCGUACUCCGUCGUCGUAUUGUUAACCGCACGUAUCCUGAUCAAUUGAACGAACUCACCAUAUCUACAUAUUUUCAAUAAAUUUACAUAACUAUAGAGUAUAACUCUGACGUAAUACCUACAAGAAAAAAGAAAAAGAAAAAGAAAAAAAAAAACAAUUUGAAAAAUAUAAUUGGAGAUCCUUUCUGUGAAGAAUAAGGAAAGGAAAAAAAAAUGAAACGAAAAGAAAAGAAAAAUAGAAAAGGGUGGCGAGGGGGGAGGGAAAAAAAGACAAGAGAUCAUGAUGAUGACGAAGGGUUAAAAACGAGUCGAUCUACGGGUCAAAUUCGAACGUCCCUUGUACCGGAUCCGUUGGUCUCUCUCUCUCUCCCUCUGUUCCUCUCUCCGCCUCUCUCUCUCUCUCUCUCUCUAUCUCUCUUUCAUAUUGACGUCCCUGUGGUAAUAACUCGCUCUCUCACGGGCGCUUACGUAAGAAAGACGUACCUACCUACCUACCUACCAACCCACCUACUGUAUAUGUGUAUGUAUAUGUGUGUGGCUAUUCAAGGGAUCAAGGCAAACCGGUAGGCAGGCGAGCAGUCAAGCAAGCGGCCAAGCAAGCAAGCAAGCAAGUAAGCAAGCAAGCAAGCAAGCAAGCAGGCAGGCAGGCAGGCAGGCAGACAGGCAGGCAGGCAGGCAAGUAAGCAGGCAGGAAAGAAGGCAGGCAAGCGAGCAGGUAAGCGGUCGAGAAACGAGCGGACAGAUAGGUAAGUAGGUAGGUGGGCACAUGUUGUGCGCAUGCCCUCAGCCAAACCUGCCAAAUGGAUAGGCAAUGCAACAGCGGAAAUACCAUCCUCUGCUUCUCCUCCUCCUCUUUCUUCUCCUUCUUCUAUUUCUUCUUCUUUAUCCUCUUCUUCUACCCUCUUCUCUUCUUCUUCUUCUUCCUCCUCCUCCUCCACCUCCACCUACCCAUCUUUUGCCUCUUCCUUCUUCGCAGCAUCACCCUGGCCCCUCCUAAAAGCGCCAUGCUUCUCACGGCUCGUGGCAACAUUCGUUUCUCUCUCUCUCUCUCUCUCUCUCUCUGAUCGGAUUUCGUAGUACUUAUUUUUCACCAACUGCCGUUAAUAGUUCGAAUAUGUCAUCGAUAUAAUUGAGUAAUCCUAAUAUCGUUUCACCAUAUCAUCCAUUUCCAUUGUUUCCCAUCAAAGGAAAUGUUAAUCUAUUCAAUAGUGACAUUUGUAUAACUAUCUAUUGAUAACAUUUUAAUUAAUGAUAGGUUGAUAUUGAUUUAUGUAAAAUUAUUUUGACGAUCAAAAUGUUAAAUUGGAAAUAUUUCAAUGUAUAUUAUGGAGUAAUUAUUUAUGACUGCUGAACGAAACUUUCUUCGUUUUCUACAACAAAGAAAACUAUUUUAUGACGCUUUUAUACUGAUUUGUAAAAUAUUUCAUACAGUGAUACACAGAAAUGGUAUUCAUCGUAAUUACUUAUGAUCACGUUAAGAACUUCUUCCUUGACUUCGAAAAAUUAUGCCACAAGGAUUAAUCGUUUGCAAGAUCCGAAUAGGAUGAUUUCAUCGGGGCGAGGCGAGGUGUAUGAAGAGAAACGUGCGUGUGAAAUAACGAUCAGAGGCGUCACCGAGUUAAUAGAUUAGUUGGAAACACGCUCGUUUCUGCGUCAUAUACGUCAUAUACAUUUGGCUUUAUCAAAAGGGUGGUCAAGAGAGAGAAAACGAGAAAGAAAGAGAGAAGCGUGCGUUAUAAUAUACACAUAUAAUUAUAUAUUGUUUGAAUAACUUUCUCACUUUGUUAAAUAAAUUUAUGUAUAAAUUUCAAUGUCUCUCAAAAUGCAUUCCAAUAAAUUAUUAAGACCCAAUAAUAAUUAUCAUAUUGUUAUCGUAUCUAAAAUGUUUAGACUAAACCUUUGAUCCUUGCGUCAAGUAUUAUAAGAAAUAAGGGAGAGUUGCCAAAUGCGCAUCGAACGAUUAAAUCACUUAUCUCAUUGAUUCUGUUACAUCUAUUAUUUAUAUGUAUUUGAUAGAAGAUAAAUAUAGAAUUCUUUACUCAACAUUUCUAUGUAGAUACAAAUUGAUCGUCGAAUGAAACGUAUGGAUAUUCCUUAAGGAUAUUCCUCAAAAGUCAAAGAAAAAAAAAAAAAAAAAUAAAGAAGUAAAGAAAGAAAGAAAGAAAAGAAGAAGAGAAAAGUACAAAAUUAGUUGAAUUUUGGCGUUUGAAAGUCACGUCGAUAUUUUUGGAAUACAGAAGAAAGGCUGUAGGGUGCGGCGUUGCCUCUAGGGACCCUAGAAGAAUGGCGGACGAUAGAAAGGGAAGAAGAUUUCCGGGAAGAAGGGAGACAGAAAGAGUGAGGAGGGGAGAGAGAGAGAGAGAGAGAGAGAGAGAGAGAGAGACAGAGAAAGAUUGCGGGCGUGUGCGCGCGCGUCCUUCCUAAAAGAGGAGCGCUCUUCGUCCUUGAAGCGCCCUUGACGCGUCAACAUCGUCGGCUUCGCUUCGCACGGCCUCCACUCGGAUUCACCGCGAACUAAUCGCCUUUAGAAAGCUUCGUUUGGUUUGCCUGCGACGCGUCGUAGGGCGUGGUCUAAGCGCACACCCGCUGACCUCCUGCCAUGGCAGCCAUCUUUGGAAGUGCCACGUCUCGGAAUGGUGCGAGGGUGAAAGUUAGGGUGGGUUUUUCGGUAAAGAAGCGGAUUAUGAAUCCGCAUCGUAAACCCAUCCCUACCACUUACACUUCCAUCUUUUCUGCUUCCUUCCCUUUUAACGUUCCGCCCUCGCCUUUACGAAUACCACAUUUUGCUUUACAUCCUCCUUUUUUACCUUUUUCAAGAUUUAUACUCUUAUAAGCCUUUAAUACUCCUCGAAAUAAACUAAACAUUAUUUCCCUUUUGGAAUUUAGAAAAAGGUGAAACGAUCAAAAAUGAAAGAUUAACUUUGGAGAUCUUCGGGGAACGUUCAAACCACCUAUACGCAUAUAUUACGAGGAGAGGAACGUGGGUUUCGGACGAAGUACGGUUUCGAGGUCACCGUGUAAAAUUAGACAUGCCGGAUAAAACGAAAUCUACUACAUAUGUACGUGGUGGAGAGCGUAGAGACGCAAGCUGAAACGAACGAAGGCGGAAACAUUUGGAGUUGUUACGCGAAAGAUGGCCGCAAACUGAGGCCUUCUAUAAAAUGGCGCUAGGCCACCCGCACGCGCUCGUUCCCUCGUUCGUUCAGCAAAGAUCACGAAUGUGAUUCUACUUACAUAUCGUGUGUGUGCGUGCAUAUACAUAUAUAUAUAUAUAUAUAUAUAUAUGUACGUAAGAAAAGUUUACAUAUCACAUUUUUUGUUUUAAGUAUAAGAAUACCCUUAUAGUUAAUUAUAUCCGCAAACGUUAAUACGAGGAUUAUUGGAUUAUUAAACGAAGUACAAUUAAACUUGUUAAGAUAUUAAAUAUGAUCGGAAUUAAUAGGAUUCAAACAAUUAUGUAUAUAUUAUAUAUAUAUAUCAAUAAUCUAAUCGAUCAAUGAAUUUUAUAGCUCUUUAACGAUUCUUUUUCUAAACGUACGGAAAAAAAAUGAUACAUUUUAAGAGUAAUUUUAACUCGUAUCUAUCAUUCAACGUUGACUUAUAUAUUUACAUAUUUCUUUUUUUCUUUUCUUUUUUAUUAUCGUUUUUAAUAUUUUCAAUUAUUUCUCAUAGUUUUGAUAAUAUAAAAAUAUACGUCGUAGAUUAAUCUAAUUCAUCUUAGAAUUUAUAUGUAAGUGAGUUCUUGCGCUAAGAGUCGAUGCCUAUCGCUGUUCCUGUAACUGCGCAAGAAAGUAGUACAAGGCAAGCUAGUCCCACUUCCCUUUUCUACUUGUAUACACCUCUCUCUCUCUCUCUCUCUCUCUCUCUCUCUCUCUCUAUUUCUCAUGUAUAUGCACGUAGAUACAUAACACACUUCUAUCUUUCUCUCCGCUCGUUUGAUUUUUUUUUACUCACGACGAACCGUAACUUUCCAAACUUACCUCCAUAGUCCUGUUAGCCUCUCAUCUUUCUCUCUCUCUCUCCUUUUCUAUUAAGAUAAAGUUACCCGCCACUUUAAUCGUUAUCUAUUCUUUUAUCAUUUAAUACUUUUAUAUAAAGUAACUUUUAUAUGAUCGUUAUUAUCUUAGAAACGUUUGCUAUGUCAUCGAUUAUAAACUACCGCUAUUAUUCUUGGAAUUGUACAAAAUUACGUAGAUACAUAUAUCUUCUUCUUCUUUUUUUUUUCUCCUCCUCCUCUUCUCUCUGACAAUCAUCGUUUUAAUUGCAAUUAUCUCGAUGAAAUGAAUUCUUGAAACGUAUGUACUUUGUUAAGUGAUAUUACAACAGCGCAAUAGUCAUUGCGCAAGAGAUAUGAAUAAGCGCAGAUGAUCUAUCGUUCGAGGAAAAAAAUUAAUAACGAUGCAACGUUAGAUUUUCCUUAAAAAAAAAAAAAAAGAAAAAAAAAAAAAAAAAAAAAAAAAAAAAAAAAAAAAAAAAGAAGAAGAAAAAAGUAGAAAAAAACGUUUAAACAAAUAGAAAAAAGAAACGACAAAUGAAAAAAAGGAAAACAAAUUCUUCGUAUACGUAUGUAUUACGCAUGUUAAUUAUGCAUUACUGUACGCUAGUAUAGAGUAAGGGAAAAAAAACUUCAACUUGGACACACAUAUAAAUGCUAACUGUGUAGAACUCGGCAAUGGUAGAUACAACGAGGCCACCACGGUAUUUGCCAAGUUACGAAAGUAAGCGGCUUUAGAAAGUAUAAAAUGGUCGAGGUGAACGGCGGUUUAGUCGGGAAUCUUGCAACGGCGAUUAUAAUACCAGCAAAAGCGGUCCGUUCUUGCUCGAUGCUGUUGCCGUGCCGUUGUUUCGAGCCAUCGGCAAUAUUUCGUGUGGCAGGUGCAAUAUUGCCAACGACACCAAACAUUUCCAAACGUUUUGGACUUUGAUUUAAUCACGUAUACGUUUGCUCACGAUGAGUAUGGAUAUAUUUACAUUUUCAGUUUCUCAUAUCACACAUAUGAAAUUUCGAUUGCAUGACAUAAAGAACGAUUAGGAGAAAUCUAAUCGAUGAAACGUCCUACUUCAUGAGGCACGUAACAUUAACGACGAAGUAUUUAUGACGAUCCUCAAAAAUCUUCCUUUCUUUCUUUUUCGUUUUUGAUCUUUUGUUAAUCAUCGAGGAAACUAGCAAGAGUCCAUGAUCUUAGAAGGAUAAAAUAUUUGUACAAUAUAUCGCAGAACGUUCGGUACUCGCGCAGUGUCUUCCAUGAUCCCAGAGCCACUAAAACAAAGCACGUUACAGCUGGGGGAACACGGCUCUCACUGCUGAGUCCGAGAACACCUACAACAACUGUUGUCCGUAUCUUUGGGAAUAAAAAACGAUCACCAA